rnacentral:piRNA from 1 species
UAUUCAAUUGGGGUUGUCUUACAGGUUC